CACUGCUCUGCCCUGAACACAUGUGACCUUAUCUGAUUUUGCAAGCUAACCAGGAUUGGGGCAAGUUAGUACUUGGAUGGGAGAGCACCAGAGAAUAUGUAAAAUGUAGUGU
rnacentral:rRNA from 1 species